rnacentral:lncRNA from 1 species
GACAUGGAGGUACCCUCAUCUUCUGUUACCACUGUGGCAAGUAGCCCAGAAAUUACAUCUAAAGUGAUUGAUACCUGGAGACCUAAACUGACGAGCUCCCGGAAAUUUGUAGUUCAAGAUGACCCAAACACUUCCGAUUUUACUGAUACUAUAUCAGGUGUACGGUGGGAAGUCCAGUCUGGAGAUUCCAACCAGAUGGUCCACAUGAAUGUCCUCAUCACCUGCGUGUUUGCAGCUUUUGUCUUGGGCGCGUUCAUCGCAGGAGUGGCUGUGUACUGCUAUCGUGACAUGUUUGUUCGGAAGAACAGAAAGAUCCAUAAAGAUGCAGAAUCGGCCCAGUCA